GACGAACGCUGGCGGCGUGCUUAACACAUGCAAGUCGAACGGAAAGGCCCUGCUUUUGUUGGGGGCUCGAGUGGCGAACGGAUGAGUAACACGAGAGUAACCUGCCCUGGACUCUGGGAUAACUUCAGGAAACUGGGGCUAAUACCGGAUAGGAUCUCCUGCUGCAUGGUGGGGGUUGGAAAGUUUCGGCGGUUGGGGAUGGACUCGCGGCUUAUCAGCUUGUUGGUGGGGUAGUGGCUUACCAAGGCUUUGACGGGUAGCCGGCCUGAGAGGGUGACCGGCCACAUUGGGACUGAGAUACGGCCCAGACUCCUACGGGAGGCAGCAGUGGGGAAUAGUGCACAAUGGGCGGAAGCCUGAUGCAGCAACGCCGCGUGCGGGAUGACGGCCUUCGGGUUGUAAACCGCUUUCGCCUGUGACGAAGCGUGAGUGACGGUAAUGGGUAAAGAAGCACCGGCUAACUACGUG
rnacentral:rRNA from 1 species